rnacentral:tRNA from 1 species
GGCGGUUUGGCAGAGUGGUCUAAUUCGCCAGAAUGCUAUGUUGAUUUCCUCGAAAGCGGGAGUUCGAAUCUCUCAGCCGUCU